rnacentral:rRNA from 1 species
UACGUAGGUGGCAAGCGUUGUCCGGAUUUAUUGGGCGUAAAGCGAGCGCAGGCGGUUCCUUAAGUCUGAUGUGAAAGCCCCCGGCUCAACCGGGGAGGGUCAUUGGAAACUGGGAGACUUGGGUGCAGAAGAGGAGAGUGGAAUUCCAUGUGUAGCGGUGAAAUGCGUAGAUAUAUGGAGGAACACCAGUGGCGAAGGCGGCUCUCUGGUCUGUAACUGACGCUGAGGCUCGAAAGCGUGGGGAGCAAACAGGAUUAGAUAC